rnacentral:rRNA from 1 species
UACAGAGGCCUCGAGCGUUAGGCGGAAUCACUGGGCUUAAAGCGUGUGUAGGCGGACUUCUAAGUACCUUGUGAAAUCCCACGGCUCACCCGUGGAACUGCUUGGUAUACUGGUUGUCUUGAGCCUUCUAGGGGCGAGUGGAACAAAUGGUGGAGCGGUGAAAUGCGUAGAUAUCAUUUGGAACGCCAAUGGUGAAAACAACUCGCUGGGGAAGUGCUGACGCUGAGAACACGGAAAGCCAGGGGAGCGAACGGG